GUACGUAGGUGGCGAGCGUUGUUCGGAUUUAUUGGGCGUAAAGGGUCCGUAGGUGGUUUGUUAAGUCUGACGUGAAAUCCCAUGGCUCAACCAUGGAACUGCGUUGGAGACUGAUGAACUUGAGUAUUGGAGAGGUAAGCGGAAUAUCAGGUGUAGCGGUGGAAUGCGUAGAUAUCUGAUAGAACACCAAAAGCGAAGGCAGCUUACUGGACAAUUACUGACACUGAGGGACGAAAGCGUGGGGAGCAAACAGGAUUAGAUACCCUGGUAGUCCACGCCGUAAACGUUGUCAACUUGAUGUGGGGGGAUUUAACCCCUUCCGUGUCAAAGCUAACGCGAUAAGUUGACCGCCUGGGGACUACGGCCGCAAGGCUAAA
rnacentral:rRNA from 1 species